rnacentral:rRNA from 1 species
CUUUCUUUGCUGGCGACCGGCGCACGGGUGAGUAACACGUAUCCAACCUGCCCUUUACUCGGGGAUAGCCUUUCGAAAGAAAGAUUAAUACCCGAUAGCAUAAUGAUUUCGCAUGGUUUCAUUAUUAAAGGAUUCCGGUAAAGGAUGGGGAUGCGUUCCAUUAGGUUGUUGGUGAGGUAACGGCUCACCAAACCUUCGAUGGAUAGGGGUUCUGAGAGGAAGGUCCCCCACAUUGGAACUGAGACACGGUCCAA